CAGAUGUAAUUUACUGUGACAAAUGAAUCAAGGAGGGAAAAAUGGAAACAAAAGCCACUCUCCAUCCAUUCAAGAAAAUAGAUAAAAUAUCAAUGAAGAGAAAGAUGAUCUGUUAAAACUCAAAUUCACCCUCCUGAGUGAGAGACUGGAGUGGUUUCGAAGCGACUGUCCUUAAACGCAUGAACGAACUGUUGCGGUAAAG
rnacentral:misc_RNA from 1 species